rnacentral:rRNA from 1 species
AACGCUAGCUACAGGCUUAACACAUGCAAGUCGAGGGGCAGCAUUGGAGUAGCAAUACUUCAGAUGGCGACCGGCGCACGGGUGAGUAACACGUAUCCAACCUGCCGCUUACUCGGGGAUAGCCUUUCGAAAGAAAGAUUAAUACCCGAUGGUAUAAAGAGUUCGCAUGUUCUCUUUAUUAAAGAAUUUCGGUAAGCGAUGGGGAUGCGUUCCAUUAGAUAGUUGGCGGGGUAACGGCCCACCAAGUCUACGAUGGAUAGGGGUUCUGAGAGGAAGGUCCCCCACAUUGGAACUGAGACACGGUCCAAACUCCUACGGGAGGCAGCAGUGAGGAAUAUUGGUCAAUGGGCGAGAGCCUGAACCAGCCAAGUAGCGUGAAGGAUGACUGCCCUAUGGGUUGUAAACUUCUUUUAUAAGGGAAUAAAGUGAGGGACGUGUCCCUUUUUGUAUGUACCUUAUGAAUAAGGAUCGGCUAACUCCGUGCCAGCAGCCGCGGUAAUACGGAGGAUCCAAGCGUUAUCCGGAUUUAUUGGGUUUAAAGGGAGCGUAGGUUGACAUAUAAGUCAGCUGUGAAAGUUUACGGCUCAACCGUGAAAUUGCAGUUGAUACUGUAUGUCUUGAGUGUACAAGAGGUGGGCGGAAUUCGUGGUGUAGCGGUGAAAUGCUUAGAUAUCACGAAGAACUCCGAUUG